GAGCUCACAAGUCCGCUACUUCAAGGGUGAGAAUGAGAAGCAGCAAGCGGAGGAACACGGUAACGAACAGCGGGUAUGAAAACUUUUUCCUCGCUCACAAACUUUGGCGAAGCUAAAACAAAUCAAGGAAAAUGUUAUGUGCAGAUCGAGCACCUGCACGAGGAGCUCGAUAAAGAACGAGAUCGCGUCCAGAAGAUGUCCAUCGAGCUCGCAGCUUGUAGAAGAAGGGAGGCGGAGCACAGGAACCUCUUAGUGGAGGUGAAAACGUUGCGAGCCGAGAAGAACAGGCAAGAACACGAGCGCCGGAGCACCGCUUACAUUCUCAAAGUCAACAAAAUGCAACGGGCAGAACACAUGAGGCUCUUCCGACGAGAAGUACC
rnacentral:lncRNA from 1 species